rnacentral:rRNA from 1 species
GAUCUGCCCCCAAGUUCGGAACAACUGUUGGAAACGACAGCUAAUACCGGAUGUGGUUACUAGGUUGCAUGAUUUAGUAACUAAAGGUCUACCGCUUGGGGAUGAGCUCGCGUCCCAUUAUGCUAGUUGGUAAGGUAACGGCUUACCAAGGCUAUGACGGGUAGGUGGUCUGAGAGGAUGGUCACCCACACUGGGACUGAGACACUGCCCAGACUCCUGCGGGAGGCUGCAGUCGAGAAUCUUCCGCAAUGCGCGAAAGCGUGACGGAGCAAUGCCGCGUGAGGGAUGAAGGCUUUCGGGUCGUAAACCUCUGUCAGAAGGGAAAAACAUUGAUUGUACCUUCAGAGGAAGCCACGGCUAACUACGUGCCAGCAGCCGCGGUAAUACGUAGGUGGCGAGCGU